UCUUCUAAAUCAACAACCCUAACCAAAACGUUCCUCUCUCCUCUCUCUUCAACCUAACCAUGGCUGCCACCCCUUCCACCCCGUCACGUCCGUCACCUCACCACCACCACGCCCAUAUCCCACAAAAUCCGCUACUUACGCCCCUCUUCUCCUUUCUCACACUCCAUCUCUGAAGCUUGCAGGCUCCAUGUACGAUUUCAGCGGAUUUCGGGAAAUCAGCAUAUAAAGUAACCUGAGGAGUAUUGCAAGUCAUAAGGGUAUAUCAAUAAUACUUGGAGUAAAAUGACGACGACGUUAGCCUCAGUUCGCUGUCACAAAGAAGGUCUGUGUCUCUCCUUUCAUCCUUAUUUAUUUAUGGAAACUUGAAUAUGUGAAAGUCCUAGGGUCCUUGUUUGGAUUGAGGUUUUUCUAUGUAGCUUCAGCUAUGUGGUUGUUUUAGUCGAUGCCCGUCCCUUUAUUUUCAUUCCAUUCUGAUUCAUCUAAUUAAAUUGCAGAAGUUUGAGCAUGUGUUGCUAAAUUUAAAUUCUGUUUUUUAGGUGUUUUUCUUGAAAUAUGUUUUCAUUAUUCUUUAUAGAAAUCAGCAUAUAAAGUAACCUGAGGAAUAUUGCAAGUCAUAAGGGUAUAUCAAUAAUACUUGGAGUAAAAUGACAUAUGAAUGUAUGAUCGCUUGAGUAUUUAGUUGUUUGUCGAGUAUGUGUUAGUUAGCAGCUCUGCUUCUCUCUGUCACUUCGAUUCUUAAAGUUGUGAAGCCUUAGCCUUUGUUGUUUUAUUUAAGCAAAUUGAUAUUCAGUAUGUUUAUAUUUUGACGCUGGUCAUUUUUUCGAGUCGUUGUUUGCUGCACCUUGAACUUAUGUAAAAAAACUAGGUUCUGCGAUCUUUAAUGAGUAUCCUGUUUUCGAUCUGCUAGAGCCAUGUUCUUUAUCGAAUUCUACUUCUGGAAUCAUGUCUCAAGGCUUAUCUUUUAGAUGUGUUGAACCAGCACUAUUCUUAUAAUUCUAUGCUGUAUUUUAGUAAACCGCGUACUAAGCUUCUUCUUUUCCCUUGUUUGGUGGUGUUUGAACAUCAGAUUAAGAGCAUGAGUGUAGUUUCUGCCCUUUUUCUUAGUUCGAGUCUGUCCUGUUCAAAUGUUUUCAAGAUUCAAGCUUUAAAAUCUCUUUCUUUAGUUAAGGUUUUGAGUAUACAAAUUCUAUGCUUGCUUUAUUUUUCCCUUGCUAAUUAGAUACUGGUUCAUUAAAAGAAUAGAAACAUGUAAUAAGUCAAGGAUGCUUUGUUUUUCAUCAGGGAGUCAUAUCAGCAAGUUUAUUUGCAAUUUUUACAUCAUGUAUGCCUUCUCACAUUCUUAGUUGUUAAAUUUGUAUACCAUGCCUUGUUAAGAAGUAUAACUCUUAAUCUAGAUCUCAUUUAUUUUCUCAAAAGUUUCUUUUUGAAGUUCAAAGACAGAAUAAUAGUCCUACUUGUGUAUCUGUUAAUCCCACUUGUUCCCUGCUAAUAGUGUGAGACGACUUAUUGGUCAAAGGAUAUGGUUGAGAUACAAAUUGUUUCACUUUUAUAAUAAGAAGUUGGUCUAUAUUUGGUUAAUGUGACUAGAGAAGCCUAGUAAAACUUUGCUGCUACAUUAUCCUUAUCAAUGGCUGUAAUAUUUUGGCCAAACAGCUUGCUGUUUUGGGCAUGUAUUAUGCUAUCUUUUGAAAGUUGUCAUACUUUAAUGGAAGGCAAAAAAAAAAAAAAGACAUUACUACUGCUGCAUGUCACUGUUACUUGCAUUUGCUGUGUUUAAGAUAAAUCUUGCCAGGUUUUGGGAUAAAGCUGUUGCAUUCAUUAAAAAGAAAUAGACUCACACUUGAUUAAGGGAUUGGUUUGGCAUUUGCUGCUGGUUCUGACCUUGGCUACUGUUUUGAUAUAAAAAGCUACUGUUUUUUUUUACUAAGUCAGCUACUGUUUUUGGGUUAAAAAGUUGCUGUUUUUGAUAUAAAAAAGCCACUGUUUUUUUUUUUUUCUAAAAAGCUACUGUUUUUUGUUUUGGGGUUAAAAAGCUACUGUUUUGGUUGGGGAAAAUUACUGGUUUAAGGAAAAAAAAAAACUGGAAUUUGUAUUUUCUUUUAGAUAAGUUCCGAGUGUUCAAAUGGCCAUGUUCUCUUAGUCUCUGAAAUGGUUAAAACUCAUCCCAACAUACCGGUUGCACUUAAAAUAGUUUAAUUAGCAUGUAAAUGUACCUCUCUUGUGUGGUUAAAAUUCUUGCUUUAAAAAAAAAACCAUCUUUUACUUCAAAAGCGAUAUGUGUUAGUCUAGCUAAGAAAAUAAAUUGUUUAGGUGUAUUUUUUCUAGAAUACGGUCAUCUCGUUCGUUAGAAUCUUUAAUAUCUAUGUUGCACAUCUAGAACAAACUUAGACUUGAAAACGAGCCUUCGAUCUAUCCUUUGAUAUUGUUUCCUGCUCAAAUCAUGACUUGGGGAAUUUUGCUUAUCUAAACAUGAAAGCCAAACUUGUGUUGAGAAUCUGGAAAUAAUGGCUGUCAACUCUUUCUCUAGAAAAACCUUUGCGUAACGAGUACGAGCCAAACAUAAUUUCUAUGCUAAAAUCUGGUUCAGCGUGUUGUGUGUUCCGGUAUGUUUUAUGGGUUAGAAAUGAAGUCCUAGGCCUUGAAAUUUUACAUUAACAGCGGGCCAUUACAUAUUCAAGUUAGAUCACAUCUGUUAGCUUUUCUUACGGGUUAGGCAUGCUUUCACCCUUCCUUCUUUGUUGUGAUUCAUACUGGCUUUGCUCUAAGUUUAGUUGGUCUAUAGUGUUAUACUCAGUCGGAAUGGAUCCCUAGCAUUGUUGCAAAUAAAUUGAGGUGCUGACUGGGUGUGAGAAGAAGAGUCCUUACUUAAAUGAAUCUGUCCCAAAGGGGAAAUCCCAAACCUCCACACCAUGUCUCUCAUGUGGAUUCAUAAUUGUCCUCCUGAUACUUUUACUAUGGAACCCUUCCACAAGAGAAUCAACAGUACUUCCCAUUCGUAAUUUUCAGCGGAGGCAUUUGUACUUGUGGAUUGGGAUAUGACUCAACUAGUGAUGACCAUAAGAUCCUUAAGAUUGAUCUCACAGCAUGCAGUGAAAUUCUAGUGUUGAAACAUGGUUCCUGGACAAAACUUUGAUAAACAUCCGAGUAUCCUACUGGCACUUAUCCUGUGUUGUCUAAUAUGGACUCUUUGGCAUUUGCGCAUGGAGCAUUUCAUUGCCUUGAUUUGUCAGUGAAUAAUUUUGUGUUUUCAUUUAGAAUUUCAAAUGAGGUGUACGGAGAGAUACUGUUGCCAGUGGAGUUGUUGUUGUUGAUAUAUUUAGGGAUGUUCAUGGUUUGGUUUAAUUUUGACCUAUAAAGAAGGCAAAUAUCUAUUGCCAUUGAUGUGAUUCUGAUAGCAAUAGUACUUCCUCCGUUCAUUUUGUGGCUUGACACUGUCCACAAACUGCUAUGCAAAAGUUUCCAUAUCUGAGGGCAGUGACAUGAGCAGAUUUGAGCCAUUUUGCUGCUGCAAUUUGAGGCCAACGCUGCUGCGUUUUUUGGCCAUUUUCUACUGUGUUUUAGGCCAUUUUCACCCCAUUUUGGGACUGAUUUACUGCCUGCGUUUUUUGGCCAUUUUCUACUGUGUUUUAGGCCAUUUUCACCUCAUUUUGGGACUGAUUUUGCUGCUGCAAUUUGAGGCCAACGCUGCUGUGUUUUUUGGCCAUUUUCUACUAUGUUUUAGGCCAUUUUCACCCUAUUGUGGGACUGAUUUACUGCCUGCGUUUUUUGGCCAUUUUCUACUGUGUUUUAGGCCAUUUUCAACUCAUUUUAGGACUGAUUUACUGCCUGCAUUUUGGCCAACUGAUUGCUGUGUUUUUGAGGCUGAAAAUGCCACAUUUUUUAAACAUUUUGGGGGCAAAAAAUGCUGCUGCACAUUUGAACUGAACUGUUACCACGUUAUUGUGCCAAAACGUUGCUGCGCUUUAAGGCAUCGUGUACCACAUUUCGAUGAAAAUGGUUGUUGUUACACUUGAUAAGUAUAGCUACUGAGGUAUCUUUGGCUAAUUGUUGGUGUCUAGCUGAAACGGAUGUUCUUUAAGAUGCUACACUUGGUUUGCAACUGCUGCUAUAUUUGUGGCUAAGCUGUUGUUUAAAAAAGGAAAUGGAUAUUGCACUUGAAUUGCUGUCUAAGAAUAAUUGCUGCUACUUGAGCUAAUUCAUUGGCAUGUGCUGAAGGGAAGAAUAGAUACUACAUCUUGAUAUGCCUGCUACUACAUUUUCUAAAUGCUCAAGGCUGCUAAGCAGCUGCUGCAUCCCUUUUUUUAGAUCAAAUACUACACUGAUCUGAACAGUUGCUUCAUCCCGAUAUUUUCAGCUGCUACGCUUGGUGAAGAAUCCUACUGAUCUGAACUUGAUACUACGCUUAGGGCCGAUGAAGAGUUGUUUAACUUGAGGCCUCACUUUUAAAAGAACGGAUUUCCAUACUUGAUUGAAAGUUAACUGAUUUGAACACUUAAAACUUGCAUAAAAAGGGAGUGGGACUGCUAUACUCAAGUUCAGGUGUAAUUAAUAUGCUAAAUUAUUUUUUCCUUAUAUGUUAUUUUUUUUCUUACAUUCGAUUCUUUUAUCUAGCUUUUAAUAAUUAGAGUUAUAUGGAUUCCUUUUUUUCUUGUUGAGAAUUGUUUCUAAUCCUUAUCUUUAUUUUGUUUUUCUUUUUCAUGAGCAACUUUGGGAGCAUUUGGAGUUAUGGCAACUCCGGAUUCUGCCCAUAUCAAAGAGCGGCCAGCAGCAGAUUUAUUUGCUCGUGUCUAGUAGUCCCACCUCGUCCACGACUCGAGUCUCCGUCCUUCUUCCUUAUUCAAAAUUUCAAGCCUCCAUAUUGUUUGAUACAUGCUAUUUAUAUUAUUUGACUAACACUCUUGUGAAUUUGUAUUUUUGUAGUUUUGUUUUGAACGCGUAACUUGACUUAAGUAUAUUAGUCGUAAGAAAUUGGAUCUUUCUAAAAGGUGAAACUGGAGAUUUCUUUCGAAAUAAAGAAUUUGCUAAUAAUGUUUUUUUUUUCUUUCAAGUGUUUCAAGCAAGAGCUAGGCAUAUUCUAUGUGAUGGCUCACACAUGGAUUUUUUAGAAAUAAGAAAAAAUGCCGGUUUUGGAGGAUAAAAAAAAAAUAAGAAUUUUAGUGGCUCAAAACAUCUUGCUAUUUUCAGAAUUCGUUCUUUUGCACUAACGUCGAGAAAGUUUUAUCUUUCAAGUUGAAAACAAGAAAAAUCAUAUUAGGCUUAUGUAUAGUGGCCUAGGAAGCCAGCUCAUUUUGUAGGAAAAACUUUUAUAUCUACGAUCUUUCAAACUGUCCGACUAACUUGACAAGCCAUCUUUCGGGUUGUUGAAGUCAAGUUUGUGGCAAGCCGUCCUUCGGGAUGUUGAAGUUCAGUCCUACUAUGUAAGAAAACUAUUGUGCUUGUAGUUUGGCUGUCU